rnacentral:lncRNA from 1 species
AUAAGAAACCAGAUACCAGUUGAUGCGGAAAGAAUUAUGGGUAACACAAAAUAAUACUUGAGAUCAAAAUGACAGAGUAAUGAUCAGCAGCAAAAUACAGACUCUCUGGGACCUUGAAUCCAGACACACAGAAAAUAACAACUUGGAAAAGAGAAAAAGAAAAGCGUUAGAUCUCCAGGAAUUGGAAAGAAACUGAACAUUAGAAACUGCAGAGAAGCUGGACUAAUGGAGCACAAUGCAGAGGAAAGAAUGAAGCAAACGGGAGAGCUCACUCUGGCUCCUGGGGAGAGGAACCUAUCUCUACAGACACAAGGUCCAGAAGCUCACUUUACAGCAAAGCCAAGGUCUGAGAGACAAGCGCUGGCGAAAGAAAGUUUUCACUCAGUGACCAAAGAAUGGAAAACCAGGAUCCAUGCUCACGGAUCAAAUUCCAGUCAUGGCUCCUGGUGUCUUUAGUCCUGAAGGAGAAAAGGAAAGAUCAGGUGUCUUAGACGUUCCUCAUUGCUGGGACAGGAUACCUGACGCCUGCAACUUAAAGGAAGAGAGGUUUAUUUUGGCUCACACUUCACAAGUUUUCAUCCACAUCAGGCAGAAACAGCAUAGCAGAAGGGCCUGGAGCGGGGAAAGCUGCUCAGCUCAUGGUGGCCAGCAAGCAGAGCAAGGAGCCAGGAAGGGAGGUGGACGCUUCCAGGCCACCUUCCAACAGCACACUCAGCUGCGGAACCACCAGCAGACGGUUCGGUGCGGAGUACAGGACCUCCACGAUCCACUCACUUCCCACAAGGCCCUGUGAGUGCAAGAGGCCUCUCGACCUGACUGUACCACUGCUAAGUCUGGCUCUAGUCAAACUUGUAUGGUUCUGGCAAAGCAUUUUUCAUAUGAUGAACACAUCUACAUGGAGAACUCAGUAGCACUGACUCAAACCAAAGGUCAGGGCAGCAAACAGGACAGACAGAUGUGAAGACAGAAGACACCAAGCCUUUUUAUCCUGUUCUAGUCACCCAUCACACAUCUGCAGGCCCGCGUGAAGAGUCAGUAUUUUCAGGGAAAGUGGGCUUCAAGUCCCUGAGAAGUAGCCUAGGUAGCCUACAUUUUGACAACAAAAAGACCCACCAAGAAAGAAAAAUAUCCCAGCACUUGAGUGGCUGAGGCAGGAGGAUCACUGUGAGUUCAAGGCCAGCCUAAGCUACAUAGUGAGUCCCUGUUUCAAAAAAAAAAAAAGAAAAAAAAUAUAUAUAUACCACCAAGAAAGAAACACAUCCAGGAAUUUGGCUGCCAUUCAUUCAUUUUUUGAAAGCUUUGCUUUGAACUGUUAUGUAAUUUAUACACAGUCCAAAUACAUGACAAUUGAUGAACAACUUGCAUCAUUUUGUGGUUGUUGUAGCUUUUGGCAAUAUAUGCCAAGCUGUAAGACUGAGGGCCUUACCAAACGCUCCAAGGAGCUGACUACAGCGACGAUCACCCGGGAAGGAACACACCGGUCAAGUUGGAAAGUAAAACAGACCUUUAUUAGUCUGGCCAGACGGCACUCCCAAAGCAAAGUAGCUAAGAGAGGCAACUGGCUCAGAGUCCGAGGCUAUUUUUAUAGGGGGUUGAGGGGGAGGUUAACAUGUAGAUUAACGGGAAAAAAGGAACAAAGGUUGGUGGUCGACUGUCACGUACUAACGGUCAGCAGACACACAGUAAUGGUCACGACCAUAUGGUCACGACCGUCACGUACUGAUGAUCAGCAGGCACAGUGAUGGAUUGUUCUACCGAUAGUGGGUCUGGGAAUUUUCGUUCUCCGGACAAACAAGGGGUUGAAUGAUUUACUUAGGAACUUUGCUUUGUUACAGAUUUUAUCUACUAUUUCAAGACUAACAAGCACAUUCUAACCAUUAAAUUUUAAACAUAACAGAGGCUAGGGGAAUAAAUGAAUUUUGAAUCAUACAGUCCCACAAAGCAAACCUUCCAAAUAUGAUAUAAGAACAUAUCUCCUGAUAGAUGCGAAGACAUUUUACACCUUGAAUUUAGAAAUUUAUCCUAGAACUCAGCCACCAGAUCUUCAUUCAUGCAGUAACAAACCAUAUGAUUUUGUAAACAG